rnacentral:rRNA from 1 species
UACGUAGGGGGCAAGCGUUGUCCGGAUUUAUUGGGCGUAAAGAGCGUGUAGGCGGCUUUGCAAGUCCGUUGUGAAAACUCGAGGCUCAACCUCGAGACGCCGGUGGAAACUGCAAAGCUAGAGUCCGGAAGAGGAGAGUGAAUUCCUGGUGUAGCGGUGAAAUGCGCAGAUAUCAGGAAGAACACCCGUGGCGAAGGCGGCACUCUGGGCCGGUACUGACGCUGAGGAGCGAAAGCGUGGGGAGCAAACAGG